rnacentral:rRNA from 1 species
AACGAACGCUGGCGGCAGGCCUAACACAUGCAAGUCGAGCGCCCAGCAAUGGGAGCGGCGCACGGGUGAGUAACACGUGGGAACGUGCCUAUCGGUUCGGAAUAACUCAGGGAAACUUGAGCUAAUACCGGAUACGCCCUUUGGGGGAAAGAUUUAUCGCCGAUAGAGCGGCCCGCGUCCGAUUAGCUAGUUGGUGAGGUAAAGGCUCACCAAGGCGACGAUCGGUAGCUGGUUUGAGAGAACGAUCAGCCACACUGGGACUGAGACACGGCCCAGACACCUACGGGAGGCAGCAGUGGGGAAUCUUGGACAAUGGGGGAAACCCUGAUCCAGCCAUGCCGCGUGAGUGAUGAAGGCCCUAGGGUUGUAAAACUCUUUCGGCGGGGACGAUAAUGACGGUACCCGCAGAAGAAGCUCCGGCUAACUUCGUGCCAGCAGCCGCGGUAAUACGAAGGGGGCUAGCGUUGUUCGGAAAUACUGGGCGUAAAGCGCGCGCAGGCGGUUCUUUAAGUCAGGGGU